rnacentral:tRNA from 1 species
GGGAAUAUAGCUCAAUGGCACAGCACUUGCCUGGCAAGCAUGAGGUCCUGAGUUUGACUCCUGGUACCA